AUUGAACGCUGGCGGAAUGCUUUACACAUGCAAGUCGAACGGCAGCACGGGGCAACCUGGUGGCGAGUGGCGAACGGGUGAGUAAUACAUCGGAACGUGCCCAGUCGUGGGGGAUAACGUAGCGAAAGUUACGCUAAUACCGCAUACGAUCUAUGGAUGAAAGCGGGGGAUCGCAAGACCUCGCGCGAUUGGAGCGGCCGAUGUCAGAUUAGGUAGUUGGUGGGGUAAAGGCCUACCAAGCCGACGAUCUGUAGCUGGUCUGAGAGGACGACCAGCCACACUGGGACUGAGACACGGCCCAGACUCCUACGGGAGGCAGCAGUGGGGAAUUUUGGACAAUGGGCGCAAGCCUGAUCCAGCCAUUCCGCGUGCAGGAUGAAGGCCUUCGGUUGUAACUGCUUUGUACGGAACGAAAAGGACUCUGGUUAAUACCGGGCGUCAUGACGGUACCGUAAGAAUAAGACACCGGCUAACUACGUGCCAGCAGCCGCGGU
rnacentral:rRNA from 1 species